rnacentral:rRNA from 1 species
CCUACGGGGGGCAGCAGUGGGGAAUAUUGCACAAUGGGGGAAACCCUGAUGCAGCGACGCCGCGUGAGUGAAGAAGUAAUUCGUUACGUAAAGCUCUAUCAGCAGGGAAGAAAUACUGACCUUACGGUCAGCAGACGGUACCUGAGUAAGAAGCCCCGGCUAAAUACGUGCCAGCAGCCGCGGUAAUACGUAGGUGGCAAGCGUUAUCCGGAUUUACUGGGGGUAAAGGGAGCGUAGACGGUGAGGCAAGUCUGGAGUGAAAUGCCGCAGCUUAACUGCGGAACUGCUGUGGAAACUGGCGAACUAGAGUGCGGGAGGGGUAAGCGGAAUUCCUGGUGUAGCGGUGAAAUGCGUAGAUAUUAGGAGGAACACCGGUGGCGAAGGCGGCUUACUGGACCGUAACUGACGUUGAGGCUCGAAGGCGUGGGGAGCAAACAGGAUUAGAUACCCUAGUAGUC